GGCAAGUUAAAGGAAUAUGAGAUGGUGGUGCUUAGAGUUUAGAGCUGAAAAUCCUUACUCUGAAUCUAAGACAUUGUUUAACAACAAUGAACAAUAUGAACAACAGACAUGUUUGGCAGGAUCCUCCUGUGCAGGUUGCCAGGUUUCUGUGACAAGAACACUCCCUAUUGCCUGUAUCUGCACCUGUGUCCAGAGAAUUCACCCAAUUCCUCUACAGACUGUGAGCCACAUUCCACAAAACGUCCACCUGAAAUAUGUGUUUCUGUUCUUAAAAUAUGGACUUUGGUCAUUGUGUAUUCAAUUUUAAGGUGCUCGCUGAUCUACGCUCAAAAUAAUUCAAGAAGUGUGAAGUAAAAUAGAAACAAACAAAGAAACAAACUAAGGCAAUAGAAAUGUGGAAUAAUUCUUCAGCAAGGAGAAGAGAAAUGCAUAAGAAAGAAUGCCCCCAAAUGGUGGAGACUUGUUCCUUGGAAUAAAGCAAGGCUUCAAGGCAUGAUCACAUGCCUACAUAUGGAACUUACCUCCUGCUUGCAAAGUAGAAAGAAUAUCCAAGAUGACUCUAUCAAAAGCCAAUGAUGUUUCUUCUCACAAGACAACAUUUUACCAUACUUAAGUAGAAAUUGGGGAAGAAUUGGUGAGUUUGGAAAUAAUUUAGGUACUGUUCUUUUGUUGCCAACUCUCCCUUGACAUGGAAUUCUGUGUGAGCUUGUAAAAUUCAGUUAAUUUCUUUGACCUCCAGAUUCUAACACAACUCUUCAACCUUGGAAAACUAUGCAGGAAAAAUAAAAACAAAAAAGAAUUUUUAAAAAUUUAAUGAAAUUUUACUUCCUAGUGCUAAAACCUUCUAAAAUGAAAUGUCUUUUUCAAUUAUUCAACUAAUGAUUAUUGAGGAUACAUUUGUUUCAGGAAGAUUUCUAGUUUCUGGGGAUGCAACAGAAAACUAUGUAAAGAUCUCUGUCUUUGCUUCUGUGAUGAAUAACUUCUGAUGAAUUAAGCCUAAAAGGCUAAGAAAAAUAAAAUAAAUAUGGAUUAAUCUUAGUUGAUUCUACAGGCAUUUAUUUUACACAUAUAUUUUAGCAAAUUGUACAAAUCUAAGGAAUAUAGUGGAGAAAGAAACAUUUAAAAUUUGCCUCAACUUUGAGGAUCUGGGGUUUUGAAAGGAGGCACUUACAGGGAUGUUUGGUAAAUGUGUGGCAAGGUCAAGAUAAACUUUCAGGUUUACAAUGAUUUAAUCUCAAGACAAUCACAGCUGAAAACUAUUUCCAAACCUCUUCUGGUUUUAGUUAGUUAUAUAUUUGUGAAUUAGUGUGUUAUUUUAGCUGAAUAACCUGCCAAUGUCAUGAAAUCAUCUAGUAUUGCAUUUGCCCUGCCUUGUCUAAAGAAUUCCUUUCUAGAGUCAGGAACUGAUGUUUCACACAUUUUGUUCUCACAUUGUUUACAGACCUGUUAGGAGGACUUGACUUCAUUCAAAGUCAACAGAGGUCUGCAAUCUCUUCUCCACACUAAAUAAUACUCUUAACUGUAUUUCCUUUUUGUUUGAAACCUUCCUAAAUAUUCGGUAAAACAUUUACUAAAAUGUUUAGUAUGUAGGCUUUAUGCAAACCACUAUAAAAAUUUUUUAUCUUGUUAGGAAAUAAUGUGUAGAAGCAAAGCUCAGUUAAUAUAAGGCUAUAUCCCGCACCUGAAAAAUGACCCCACCAGGGUUGUCUGCUGCCCCUGAUAAUGGGUCAUCAGGUCCUUGGUGGACCUGCCAGGCUGGUGUCCUACAGGAGAUGAACACAGGCUUUAUAAGCAUUUGCUCCCUGAGGGACAUUUUUCCCCAGGUCAUUAUUAGCCUUAACAACCUGGCAGCUGCACACUGUGCAGCAUCCUUCCAGCCUGUGGAAAUUUUCUAUCAAUUAACAGCAACACCAUGGUUUGGCACCAAAAUAUUGGAUGAGGUUUCAGAAGAUGUGGUUCUGAGGUUCCUAUCUUCUGUUACUUGGGAGAGGCAAUAAUUUGCUUUGACUAUCCCUGCUUCCAACUCCCAUGGAGGAGGUUGCUCAAUAUGUUGUACAACUUUGUAAGGAUCAGAAUCAA